rnacentral:rRNA from 1 species
CCCUUAGAUGUCCUGGGCCGCACGCGCGCUACACUGAGUGUCUGAGAUACGAGUCUGCCUGGUCCGGCAAGGUCUAGGUAAUCGCUAAAAGACACAUCAUGCUUGGGAUAGAUUAUUGCAAAUAUUAAUCUUGAACGAGGAAUUCCUAGUAAGCGCAAGUCAACAGCUUGCGUUGAUUACGUCCCUGGCCUUUGUACACGCCGCCCGUCGCUACUACUGAUUGGAUGUUUAAGCGAGGUUCUCGAACUGCUAGCGACUUAGCUUCGGUGAGGUCGCAGUGUGGGAAGUGAACCUAGCUUUGGUGUCUAGAGGAAGUAAAAGUCGUAACA